UNAAUGGCGAACGGGUGAGUAACACGUGGGCAAUCUGCCCUUCACUCUGGGACAAGCCCUGGAAACGGGGUCUAAUACCGGAUACGACACGGGGUCGCAUGACCUCCGUGUGGAAAGCUCCGGCGGUGAAGGAUGAGCCCGCGGCCUAUCAGCUUGUUGGUGGGGUGAUGGCCUACCAAGGCGACGACGGGUAGCCGGCCUGAGAGGGCGACCGGCCACACUGGGACUGAGACACGGCCCAGACUCCUACGGGAGGCAGCAGUGGGGAAUAUUGCACAAUGGGCGAAAGCCUGAUGCAGCGACGCCGCGUGAGGGAUGACGGCCUUCGGGUUGUAAACCUCUUUCAGCAGGGAAGAAGCGAAAGUGACGGUACCUGCAGAAGAAGCGCCGGCUAACUACGUGCCAGCAGCCGCGGUAAUACGUAGGGCGCAAGCGUUGUCCGGAAUUAUUGGGCGUAAAGAGCUCGUAGGCGGCUUGUCACGUCGGAUGUGAAAGCCCGGGGCUUAACCCCGGGUCUGCAUUCGAUACGGGCAGGCUAGANUUCGGUAGGGGAGAUCGGAAUUCCUGGUGUAGCGGUGAAAUGCGCAGAUAUCANGANGAACACCGGUGGCGAANGCGGAUCUCUGGGACGAUACUGACNCUGAGNANCNAAAGCGUGGGGAGCNAANANGANNANAUACCNNGGUAGUCCCCGCC
rnacentral:rRNA from 1 species